rnacentral:lncRNA from 1 species
CCGGCUGGGGGAGCCCCACUCACCUCCCCACUCUCUGGGGGCUGCCCGGCUCUGCUGUGGCGGAGACACACAAUCGGGACAAAGGCACAGCCCCCAGGGGGCUAACUCAGCCUUCACGCCCAGGUUGUGCGGCAUUUGGGGAGUUUAAUGAAUUGUCCAUCACGCCUUUCAGGGCCCGCCCGUCAGCCUGGAUUAAUCUUCGGAGCCCUGGUGGGGUAGGAGACACUAAGCCUGUAUUUAUUACUCUCCCAUUGUCACUAAUUGAGGUAAUUAUCUGUGACUCUGGCCUGGCCAACAAUGAGGCAUUCACUCCUGGGACCUCGAUGGGCCUGGCUCCCACUCUCAGCACCAGCCCUCCCUCCCCUCCUCUUCCAAACCCGCCAAGGACUACGAUGGGCCCUGGAGCAUGUUGGGAAAGUGGACAGCGUCCCACAAUGCCUCACCUCCCCACCGGCGUCUCCCAUAGCCAUCACUACAGAGCUGUCUCCUGGUCCCCCCAGAGAAGGCACCGUCAAGUGAAUGGAUGAAUACAGAUGAAGCCGGCACUUGCUUUAAAACUGGGAUCUGUGAGCUAUUCUCUUCCACAGCUGCACUCAGGCUCCUCAUUCUCUCAGGACUUGCUGGAAGGAGAUGUCUAGACCAUCCCUGGACGGUCAGCGGUGGGCACUUCACCAGCUGUUGACACGACAGACCCUGGCCGAACUCAGAGCGCAUUUUCUGAGAGCCUGCUCCACGCCAAACUUGUCGGGUAUACAGAGCUAAAUCAGCUAAAUCACCUCCAGCAGCUCAUGGUCCAGCAGGGGAUUCCACAAGGUAACAAGACCAACGAGGUUACGAUCAAGCCGCAGGAAAAAAAAUUAUCCAGGUGUUGAGGAGGCACUAGAACAUUCCCAGCUCAAAAACUCCAUCAUUCACCUCUCCCUCAAUUCCUCUCACCGAAGUGCAAAUGGUUUAUCUUCAUUACCAAGAAACAGUCUGGGCAUGGUGGCUCACAGCUGUAAUCUCAGCACUUUGGGAGGCCGAGGCGGGCGGAUCACUUGAGAUCAGGAGUUCGAGACCAGCCUGGCCAACAUGGUGAAACCCGUCUCUACUAAAAAUACAAAUAAAAAAUUAGCCAAGAGUUAUGGCGCCCACCUGUAAUCCCAGCUACUCUGGAGGCUGAGGCAGGAGAAUCGCUUGAACCCAGGAACUGGAGCAGAGAUCACACCACUGCACUCUAGUCUGGGUGACAGAGUGAGACUCCAUAUCAAAAAAAAAAAAAAAAAAAAACCCAAAAAGCAAAAAAGACAAGAAAUACUUCAAGUUCUGGCUCCCACACAUCUUUCCAGGACUCACUCUUCUGCCCCACUGCAUUCCCUAAUGCCUCUGCUCCCUGUGAAAGCCACGUGUUUUCCUACCUCUCUGCAUUUUCCCACCUCUCUGCAUUUUCCCACAUCCUAGAAUGUCCCCCUUCCCUGUAUCCCACUGUUGGAACCCAUCUCAGAUGUUCCUUCCUCCAUGAAGACUCUUCUGAUUUCCCUUGGUAGAGUGGUCUUGCCUGUUCUAGCUCCUGAAGCACCAUGUAGGUAGGUGCUUUCAUUAGCAGCACAUACUGGGUGUCCCAUUGGUGGUUGUCUGUGUAUAUUACUCAUCCUCCUACUAGGCUAGCCCUUGCAGCACUGACCUGGGCAUAUCAUAUGCCUUUGUUAAAUGGUGAAUAGACGGAUACAUGAAUAAAUGGAUGCACGGACAGAGGAAUAAAUCGAUGGAAGUAUAAAUGGGGC